rnacentral:siRNA from 1 species
UCGACUUCCAGGUUGAGUGAU